rnacentral:rRNA from 1 species
UGAUUUUAGUGCUUGCACUAAAUGAAACUAGAUACAAGCGAGCGGCGGACGGGUGAGUAACACGUGGGUAACCUGCCCAAGAGACUGGGAUAACACCUGGAAACAGAUGCUAAUACCGGAUAACAACACUAGACGCAUGUCUAGAGUUUGAAAGAUGGUUCUGCUAUCACUCUUGGAUGGACCUGCGGUGCAUUAGCUAGUUGGUAAGGUAACGGCUUACCAAGGCAAUGAUGCAUAGCCGAGUUGAGAGACUGAUCGGCCACAUUGGGACUGAGACACGGCCCAAACUCCUACGGGAGGCAGCAGUAGGGAAUCUUCCACAAUGGACGAAAGUCUGAUGGAGCAACGCCGCGUGAGUGAAGAAGGGUUUCGGCUCGUAAAGCUCUGUUGGUAGUGAAGAAAGAUAGAGGUAGUAACUGGCCUUUAUUUGACGGUAAUUACUUAGAAAGUCACGGCUAACUACGUGCCAGCAGCCGCGGUAAUACGUAGGUGGCAAGCGUUGUCCGGAUUUAUUGGGCGUAAAGCGAGUGCAGGCGGUUCAAUAAGUCUGAUGUGAAAGCCUUCGGCUCAACCGGAGAAUUGCAUCAGAAACUGUUGAACUUGAGUGCAGAAGAGGAGAGUGGAACUCCAUGUGUAGCGGUGGAAUGCGUAGAUAUAUGGAAGAACACCAGUGGCGAAGGCGGCUCUCUGGUCUGCAACUGACGCUGAGGCUCGAAAGCAUGGGUAGCGAACAGGAUUAGAUACCCUGGUAGUCCAUGCCGUAAACGAUGAGUGCUAAGUGUUGGGAGGUUUCCGCCUCUCAGUGCUGCAGCUAACGCAUUAAGCACUCCCGCUGGGGAGUACGACCGCAAGGUUGAAACUCAAAGGAAUUGACGG